UACAUUUUUUUUAAUAAUAAGAUAUUCUGAAAUGAUAAUGGACUCAAGAGUGAGACUUGAAAUGUCUAGUCCAGCAUCCAUAACAUACCAUAGAGCACAAACUGAGUUAUAUAAAUUAAAUGGAUAUCAGUGUGAUAGAGAUAAGUGAUUUUUUGUCCUUUAGAUUAACUAAGGUAGUAAAUCAAUCAAAUAAUUUUCUUGGAUUAAGAGACGAAGUAAAGUUGACUUGAGAAAGGGAUUGACUGAGAUUUUCAAUGAAGAAGCUAUUGAUGGAAGAUGAGAGAACUCUCACGUAGUAUUCGGAGUAUAGGAUGAUUCUAGACCAGAUCAAGAUCAGUGUAUGUAAAUUACAUAUUAUAUGUACAUCUAGGUAUCAAGGUAUUUAGAAUUUAAUGACUGUGCCUAGCACAGAUAGUCUCUGUUAUUUACCAAAAUUUGUUCCGAGGAUUUUUUGUUUAAUAUUUCAACUUGAAUAUGGGUGUGACUUUUGUUUCUUAGAAUAUUUGUUUCUUCCAUGAUUGUAUGUUUUUCACUAAUAAUAAAUAUCUCAUGUAAAUUGU
rnacentral:lncRNA from 1 species